rnacentral:rRNA from 1 species
AGACGAACGCUGGCGGCGUGCUUAACACAUGCAAGUCGAACGAUGAACACCGGAGCUUGCUCUGGUGGGAUUAGUGGCGAACGGGUGAGUAACACGUGAGUAACCUGCCCUUGACUCUGGGAUAAGCGUUGGAAACGACGUCUAAUACCGGAUACGACCUUUCUCGGCAUCGAGUGAAGGUGGAAAGAUUUAUCGGUCAAGGAUGGACUCGCGGCCUAUCAGCUAGUUGGUGAGGUAAUGGCUCACCAAGGCGACGACGGGUAGCCGGCCUGAGAGGGUGACCGGCCACACUGAGACUGAGACACGGCCCAGACUCCUACGGGAGGCAGCAGUGGGGAAUAUUGCACAAUGGGCGCAAGCCUGAUGCAGCAACGCCGCGUGAGGGACGAAGGCCUUCGGGUUGUAAACCUCUUUUAGCAGGGAAGAAGCGCAAGUGACGGUACCUGCAGAAAAAGCACCGGCUAACUACGUGCCAGCAGCCGCGGUAAUACGUAGGGUGCAAGCGUUGUCCGGAAUUAUUGGGCGUAAAGAGCUCGUAGGCGGUUUGU